rnacentral:rRNA from 2 species
AGAAAGGGACGGCUAANUACGUGCCAGCAGCCGCGGUAAUACGUAGGUCCCGAGCGUUGUCCGGAUUUAUUGGGCGUAAAGCGAGCGCAGGCGGUUAGAUAAGUCUGAAGUUAAAGGCUGUGGCUUAACCAUAGUACGCUUUGGAAACUGUUUAACUUGAGUGCAGAAGGGGAGAGUGGAAUUCCAUGUGUAGCGGUGAAAUGCGUAGAUAUAUGGAGGAACACCGGUGGCGAAAGCGGCUCUCUGGUCUGUAACUGACGCUGAGGCUCGAAAGCGUGGGGAGCGAACAGGAUUAGAUACCCUGGUAGUCCACGCCGUAAACGAUGAGUGCUAGGUGUUAGGCCCUUUCCGGGGCUUAGUGCCGCAGCUAACGCAUUAAGCACUCCGCCUGGGGAGUACGACCGCAAGGUUGAAACUCAAAGGAAUUGACGGGGGCCCGCACAAGCGGUGGAGCAUGUGGUUUAAUUCGAAGCAACGCGAAGAACCUUACCAGGUCUUGACAUCCCGAUGCCCGCUCUAGAGAUAGAGUUUUACUUCGGUACAUCGGUGACAGGUGGUGCAUGGUUGUCGUCAGCUCGUGUCGUGAGAUGUUGGGUUAAGUCCCGCAACGAGCGCAACCCUUAUUGUUAGUUGCCAUCAUUCAGUUGGGCACUCUAGCGAGACUGCCGGUAAUAAACCGGAGGAAGGUGGGGAUGACGUCAAAUCAUCAUGCCCCUUAUGACCUGGGCUACACACGUGCUACAAUGGCUGGUACAACGAGUCGCAAGUCGGUGACGGCAAGCUAAUCUCUUAAAGCCAGUCUCAGUUCGGAUUGUAGGCUGCAACUCGCCUACAUGAAGUCGGAAUCGCUAGUAAUCGCGGAUCAGCACGCCGCGGUGAAUACGUUCCCGGGCCUUGUACACACCGCCCGUCACACCACGAGAGUUUGUAACACCCGCAAGUCGGUGAGGUANCCUUUUAGG